CUUUUCUGUUUUUCAUUUGAAAACAAAACAAUUUGAUGGUCAAAUUUGAUUAAAUAAAUAAUAAAUAUGUUGAGAAGACAUUGUUAAUGAUGUGUUAAUAAAAAAACAAAUUUUCUCUAAGUAAUUAACAUAAUGACUUAAUGGUUACCUUUUUAAAUAUAAGUAGUCAAGUUAAUAAAUCUUAAAUAGUAAGAUAAUUAUAAUUUAACAAUUUUGUAGGCGUUAAUGUGGAAAAUUUAGUUUUAAAAUUGAUAAAUAAUGUGAAGUUUUUCAGAUGCCAUGAUGAUGAACAAUAUCAUUUUGUUAAUUAAAAUAUAGCUGCUAUAAUAAAAACAGUGAAAUGACUUUCUUGGCUAAUUUAAACUAACAAAAACAUGUUUAAGGUUAAUGCGAUUAAUUAUGCAAAUUAUAUAUCCUCUAUUUCUAUGCAAAAAUUUAUAUUUAAAAAAUGACAAUACAAGUGAAUGUGGAUGUAGCUAAUGAUACGGAAUUUAUUUAUUUUGAGAUGAAUGAAUAAAAUCUUGAUGUACCCCCAAUAACCCUGUAAAUUUUUCAAUUGAUGUAUCGAACCGUUUUUUUCGGGGUGAUUAAAUAAAGUUUUGCAAAAGAAUUGAAGGAACGAGUUUUGUUUCUUAAAAAAAGUAAUCAUCAUCAAAAUAAAAAAAUUAUUUGUUUUGGACUUUUCUUAUAUUUUUACGUCGGUUACUCAGUAAAUGUGAAGAAAAGAGAACAAAAAAUCUGUGUACCGGUAAACCCUGCAGACCAGCCCCAAAACUUCCCACUGUUUUUGAACUCCUUGAGCUCAAAAACAUAAUUACUUGAAAAUUUUUCGGCUCUUCGAACUCAAAAAACUAUUAGACCGUCAAAAACAUGCAUUUCUCGCGUGGCUCUGAUGAAAACUUUAUUUUUGAAAAUUGGACCGAAACCAAUAAUUUUCUUUUUUUUUGAAUUAUCAAUUUUCAUAGCGGUUUAUUUUCAAUUUACAUUUGAAAGAACAAAAUUUUCUGAAUAAAAAUACACUUUUUCAUCUUGAAAAAAAAAAAAAAAGAAAAAAAUCGAUGAACCGUUAACCGUACAAACCAACUCAAAAAUUUCAUACGGUUUUGGAGCUCGAAAAGAUGUUUUUGAAUACAUAUUAAAAAAAAAAAAAAAAAAAAAAUUUCAAUACCCGUUUUAAAUUAAACAGUACACUUGGUGUUGAACUCGUUUAAGAAGUAAAGAAAAAAUAUCUUUGAAUAAUUAAAGAAACAAAAAUUAAAAUUAAAAGAAUUAAAAAUAUUAUUAGCUUAAAUUAUUAUUUACCGUAAGAUAAAAAUUUGAAAUUCAAUCAAAUUUAAGAAGUUAACA